rnacentral:rRNA from 1 species
GCACAAGCGGUGGAGCAUGUGGUUUAAUUCGAUGCAACGCGAAGAACCUUACCUACCUUUGAAUCCACGGAAUCUUGCAGAAAUGUGAGAGUGCCUUCGGGAACCGUGAGACAGGUGCUGCAUGGCUGUCGUCAGCUCGUGUCGUGAGAUGUUGGGUUAAGUCCCGUAACGAGCGCAACCCUUGUCCUUAGUUACCAGCGAGUUAUGUCGGGGACUUUAAGGAGACUGCCGGUGAUAAACCGGAGGAAGGUGGGGAUGACGUCAAGUCCUCAUGGCCCUUACAGGUAGGGCCACACACGUGCUACAAUGGCCGGUACAAAGGGUUGCCAACCCGCGAGGGGGAGCUAAUCUCAAAAAGCCGGUCGUAGUCCGGAUUGGAGUCUGCAACUCGACUCCAUGAAGCUGGAAUCGCUAGUAAUCGCGGAUCAGAACGCCGCGGUGAAUACGUUCCCGGGCCUUGUACACACCGCCCGUCACACCAUGGGAGUGGGUUGUACCAGAAGCAGGUAGACUAACCGAAAGGAGGUCGCCUACCACGGUAUGAUUCAUGACUGGGGUGAAGUCGUAACAAGGUAACC